GAACCGUGUUUACCCUAAUUUUGAAUCCUUCGUUGUUUCCACUUUCACAAUGAAUAGGGCUAGAAGUUUAAUGAGGUUGUAACGUGAGUGUUCUCGGAUUGCAAAUUUCAAACAACCGCCCUUUUUGAUGCAACGGAGAUAAACGCAGAGUUUAAGAGCAUCCCAGCCAUGCCUCUACAAUCAAAGUGUUUGCAAAGCGGCCGGGGAGCAGGGAAAAAAGCUGAAAGUCAUAUCUGCCAUGAUGACAGAUGACAUUGAUGCCAGAAGGGAGUCCCACAUUAAAGGACUGCAUCUAUCUGAAUGAGAAUCCCAACGUCUUGGAGCGGGAGUACACGGACAUGACUGAGGCCACUGCGCUGAGUGCCA